rnacentral:rRNA from 1 species
ACGCUGGCGGCAUGCUUUACACAUGCAAGUCGGACGGCAGCACAGAGAAGCUUGCUUCUUGGGUGGCGAGUGGCGAACGGGUGAGUAAUAUAUCGGAACGUACCGAGUAAUGGGGGAUAACUAAUCGAAAGAUUAGCUAAUACCGCAUAUUCUCUGAGGAGGAAAGCAGGGGACCUUCGGGCCUUGCGUUAUUCGAGCGGCCGAUAUCUGAUUAGCUAGUUGGUGGGGUAAAGGCCUACCAAGGCGACGAUCAGUAGCGGGUCUGAGAGGAUGAUCCGCCACACUGGGACUGAGACACGGCCCAGACUCCUACGGGAGGCAGCAGUGGGGAAUUUUGGACAAUGGGCGCAAGCCUGAUCCAGCCAUGCCGCGUGUCUGAAGAAGGCCUUCGGGUUGUAAAGGACUUUUGUCAGGGAAGAAAAGGCUGUUGCUAAUAUCGACAGCUGAUGACGGUACCUGAAGAAUAAGCACCGGCUAACUACGUGCCAGCAGCCGCGGUAAUACGUAGGGUGCGAGCGUUAAUCGGAAUUACUGGGCGUAAAGCGAGCGCAGACGGUUACUUAAGCAGGAUGUGAAAUCCCCGGGCUCAACCUGGGAACUGCGUUCUGAACUGGGUGACUAGAGUGUGUCAGAGGGAGGUAGAAUUCCACGUGUAGCAGUGAAAUGCGUAGAGAUGUGGAGGAAUACCGAUGGCGAAGGCAGCCUCCUGGGAUAACACUGACGUUCAUGCUCGAAAGCGUGGGUAGCAAACAGGAUUAGAUACCCUGGUAGUCCACGCCCUAAACGAUGUCAAUUAGCUGUUGGGCAACUUGAUUGCUCAGUAGCGUAGCUAACGCGUGAAAUUGACCGCCUGGGGAGUACGGUCGCAAGAUUAAAACUCAAAGGAAUUGACGGGGACCCGCACAAGCG